rnacentral:rRNA from 1 species
UACAGAGGUCUCAAGCGUUGUUCGGAUUCAUUGGGCGUAAAGGGCGCGUAGGCGGCCUGCUAAGUCGAACGUGAAAUCCCCGAGCUCAACUCGGGAACUGCGUCCGAUACUGGUUGGCUUGAAUCCGGGAGAGGGAUGCGGAAUUCCAGGUGUAGCGGUGAAAUGCGUAGAUAUCGUGAGGAACACCGGUGGCGGAAGGCGCAUCCUGGACCGGCAUUGACGCUGAGGCGCGAAAG